UAUCACCACACUUUUUCACCUAUUUGGCUGAAGAACUAACCAACAAAGACAAGAAAAGGAGCAGUCUCGUAGAAACACAAAUAAUAGGAAAAAAUAGAAGGUCAAACAUACUGAUGGAAGGAAAUCUUUUGUCAGGAUUAUGGAAGAGAGGGGUGAGGAGGCACCGAAUAUGAUUGCAUUUUACAAAGAAACACACUGGUCUAAGGAGAAGGGGAAAUUCAUCAAUGCAGCAAGUGAACACAAUUAUAAUCUGAUGGUAGAGAGGUUGAAUGAGAAAGACACUGAAGAGGCUCAGGAUACUGAUGUUGCUGCUAAUGUUUUCAAAGAGGUCUGAGGGUAUAAAUCUGGCUAUGCACAAGGGCAGGGCCACUCAGUCAUUCCUGAGCCCUCCCCUUUUAUGCAAGAAAAU